rnacentral:lncRNA from 1 species
ACCAUAUUCAAUCUUUGAGUCUCACAGACUAGGAUGCCUAAGACCUCUCAAACUCGCGUCUAAAGCGCAUUACCGCGUCCGCCUCACGUGAACUCCUACGCUUGUUCGUCCGCUCGCUGGCCUCGCUCGCUUGUUCCCAGCCUUGCCCACAUGAACCCAUUCCGCGCCAAACCAAGCUAGCAACCAAAUUCAAAUCGCGCGCUAUCUGGUCGCCCAUGCCCACUUGCUGCGUGAACCAACGUCAACACACCC